GCUGAUUAUGGCCCACUUCUCAUAUGAAGUCUGUGAUAUGUAUACUGAUCCAUAUAUAACACUGGAUUAGGAUAUGUCUUAACAAGUGUCAUUCUGUUCUUAGGACAAAGAAGAUCAUCAAUUUUUCCUGAUCAAAGAGAGGUUUUGAAAGUCUUAUUUGACCAGGGAAUGACCAGGAGAGGCAGCCACCAGAGCUGGACUGUCGGAGAGUGUGGUGGAGAAUUGGUCAGGGAAUGAAAGAAGAAAACUGUCCCAGAGUCAAGCUGUUCCUCAAAAAAAAAAACCUAAGCUCUACAAAUGGAAUGUGUCAGCUUACAACCUGUUUAUGAGGGACCACCUUAAAGCAAAAGGUUUGUGCAGGUUUGGCUUUAAUUAGCUGUUUGCAAUUACAAGAGCAAGGCAGGCAUUCUAGUAUUGUGGACUGUAUGCAUUUCUCAAUCGGUGUGUCUUUGAUGUAGGUUCAUUAUUAUUAUUUUUAGAUGAAUGAUCAAAGGGGUUUCUCAAGUCUAACAACAAAUUCUAAAGUCUACUGACUCCAUCUGACAUAUAUUUCUACUUUGUUUCAACAAGUAAAUGUUUUUGUUGUUGUUGUAAUGCCUUGAUAGAAUAGAUAGAUAAAACAAUGUCACUGACAUUGUCAUGUUUUCUGUUGUAUGUCAGGAUUUAUGGCAGGUACACAGGGCAAAAGGCAGGUAUUACCACCUGCCACAACAGCCCAUUACAGUGAGGAGGCAGACAAGCUACAGGCAGGAGGUCAGGAGUUGAAGGGGAACCUGAAGGCCUUAAAAGUCAAAGAUUAUUUAAGACGGCUGAAAUCAAUGGUGGGAAUAUAUACUGUAGGGUCACAAUAGUAAAUCAUGAAAUGUUGAAACUUUUACUUUUAAAAAGUAAUGUAUUUUGAUUUGAUAGUUGGGAGUUAGAUUUGAGAUACAGAUUUAAGAUCCAGAGAACAGGCAUUUUUCUUAUGAAAGGAUUUCAGUCUUUUUGCCAACUCUUUUCCUAUAAGCAUUUUUAGGUAUUGUCUUUUUUUACAUAUAAUUUCAUUUAUUAUUUAUCUUGUUUAUUUCAAUAUCAUUUUUUGUUAGGUUAUCGAGUUGGAAGGUAAGGGGGUUGACACAGCUUUCCUUGUCCACAACCCAGAGGACCUCAUACCAGUCAGCACAGCCUCAUCUGGGAGGGGAAAGGAAUUUGUUGAGGGCCAGGAUCUGAUCGCCAAGUUUUCUGUACACUUUUCUGGCAAACCUGCAGCUUCACAGUCAAAGGGGUUUGACAAGGCUAGGGUGCAAGGAAUACAAGCCUAAUUCAACCAGUAUAGUAUGUACCAUUUUAUUUGAAAUAACUAUUAAAAUGUACUCUGUGAUUCAACAAUUAAGCAAGCUUAAAACAUUUUACCACUAAAAUUCACAGGCAGAGUUCUGGAUACAAGGCCUGACAUAAACAUAUGUGGUAGCUGUGCCUUGUUGGUUUACAUUGUUGAUAUUCAAGUAAGCAGAUUUCUGGAUCACUGGUAGAAGCUUGGAAUAAUGUGUACACUUGAUAUUCCUUCACUAAAGCCUUAUUUCUGUUUCUGUUUAGAUGAAGCAGGUAGACAGGGCAGAGUUCCAUAUAUGGCUGUGGCUGCCAAGAAGGUGGUCAUUGAAGUAGAGGGCAUGCCAGGUGGGAUAGAGUUAAAAAAGUGCAACUCAAUACUAGGAAGGUGUUCCUAAUGUUUUGUAAACUGUAAUUGUAUGUUAUGUCACUGAAGUGUGUAUGUUAUGAAUGAUGCUUGGCUUAGUUCAAUGCUAAAUUCCAGAUAAACAACAGCACUGCACCUGACUUUGCACAGCAAAUGUGUACUGCAUGUUAAAAUAGUAAAAGAUAAAAUAGUAAAUGUAGUCAAUGACGAGCAUCUUUGCUGGCAUAGAAAGAGUCCGUUCAGAAUUAGAAAUUGGGUAAAUGUGUGGAAACUCAUUUACCACACUACGUAAUGAAUGAGGUGUUUCAGUGCAGACAUUAUAUUAAAAACAUUUUCAAAAUGUACUGUGAAUGUAGCCAACAAGCCAACCUGUAUUUUAUUACCUUACAAUUGAUCACUUUGUAAUUGUGUCUCUGUAUUUAUUUUCUUCCAGUCAUACACAUACAUCCUUGCAGUUGCAAUGAACUCCAUUAUUGCUUAGCCACAAUGAAUUAUUUUUUAAUAAAAAAUGUUAUUCAA